CUCCAAACUCUCCAAGUCACCCACGUGUUUCUUCUCCCCUUUUGCUGUUCAAUUUACUUCCCGACUUGUCAGAGAGAAACUCGAGUUGUUCCGUGGCUUGUAGCUGCAAUCCUGGGUCCAUGCUACCUUAUGCCCUCCCGCACCCUCUCCAGUCCGAGCUGCCUGGCCCACCCCUCCUCACUGUGGGGUGAGUGGACAGAUGCCUGGGUGCUUUCUGGGCUCAGCCCCUGCCCCACUUUCUCCGUUCCUCCUCCUCCACCCGGAGCAAAAUGAAUUGGCUGUUUAAUCUCGCUGCCCGAGUGGGAUGGGAGCGGGUGUGUGCGAGGUGGGGUGCAUGGCACAAAUAACUGACGCGCGCGAACACACACGCACAUUCACUCACACACAAUUAACAACGAUGUCUUACUCUCAGGGUCUGUCAUACACACCUGAAUUCUGUCUUCUCAACACGGGCAGACACGCCCCUGCCCGCCCUCCCCCAAUUUCCAGAAUAUAAUUUGGCCUGGGGUCCAGGAUUGGUGGGGAUACGUAGACCGACUAGAAUAUGAAAAGGGCAGGGGACCCCUCGCUACACGGGGGAGGGGGCGCUCUCCACUCACCGCCUGAGUCCCUGGAACGAGGAGGGCCAGGACAUCCUGGAUUUCUUCAGGCCCGGCCGGUGGCCAGUCUCCACCGCGUAGGAGGGAGCUCCCGGCCUGCGCAACAACAGACCCAGGAAGGACCCAAGGACCCCAGAGGGGGUUUUUUUCAGCUGCCUGCCUGCCUGCCUGUCUGCGAUCACCCGGCGGCGUGCGCGUGAGCUCCCGGCCUGCGCGACAACAGACCCAGGAAGGAAGGUAGCCGCGCGGGCGCCCUUGAAACACCCAC
rnacentral:lncRNA from 1 species